GACGAACGCUGGCGGCGUGCCUAAUACAUGCAAGUUGAGCGCUGAAGGUUGGUACUUGUACCAACUGGAUGAGCAGCGAACGGGUGAGUAACGCGUGUGGAAUCUGCCUUUGAGCGGGGGACAACAUUUGGAAACGAAUGCUAAUACCGCAUAAAAACUUUAAACACAAGUUUUAAGUUUGAAAGAUGCAAUUGCAUCACUCAAAGAUGAUCCCGCGUUGUAUUAGCUAGUUGGUGAGGUAAAGGCUCACCAAGGCGAUGAUACAUAGCCGACCUGAGAGGGUGAUCGGCCACAUUGGGACUGAGACGCGGCCCAAACUCCUACGGGAGGCAGCAGUAGGGAAUCUUCGGCAAUGGACGAAAGUCUGACCGAGCAACGCCGCGUGAGUGAAGAAGGUUUUCGGAUCGUAAAACUCUGUUGGUAGAGAAGAACGUUGGUGAGAGUGGAAAGCUCAUCAAGUGACGGUAACUACCCAGAAAGGGACGGCUAACUACGUG
rnacentral:rRNA from 1 species